AGCAGCCGCGGUAAUUCCAGCUCCAAUAGCGUAUAUUAAAGUUGUUGCAGUUAAAAAGCUCGUAGUUGAAUUUCGGGAUCAAUAUGUUGGUCGUGCCUCGGUACGUACUAGCAUAUUGGUUUCUCCUUUCUGAAGAACCAUGAUGUCAUUUAUUUGGUGUCGUGGGGAAUCAGGACUGUUACUUUGAAAAAAUUAGAGUGUUUAAAGCAGGCUCACGCUUGAAUACAUUAGCAUGGAAUAAUGAAAUAGGACGUUUGAUUCUAUUUUGUUGGUUUCUAGGAUCGACGUAAUGAUUAAUAGGGAUAGUUGGGGGCAUUAGUAUUCAAUUGUCAGAGGUGAAAUUCUUGGAUUUAUUGAAGACUAACUACUGCGAAAGCAUUUGCCAAGGAUGUUUUCAUUAAUCAAGAACGAAAGUUAGGGGAUCGAAGACGAUCAGAUACCGUCGUAGUCUUAACCAUAAACUAUGCCGACUAGGGAUCGGAUGAUGUUAAUUUUUAAUGA
rnacentral:sRNA from 1 species